ensembl:misc_RNA Metazoa_SRP Metazoan signal recognition particle RNA
GCCAGGUGUGGUGGUGCACACCUGUAGUCCUAGCUACUUGGGAGGCUGAGGUGGGAGGAACACUUGAGCCCAGGAGGUUGAGGCUGCAGUGAGCCGAGAUCACACCACUGCACUCCAGCCUGGGUGACAGAGUGAGACCCUGUCUCAA